rnacentral:rRNA from 1 species
GACAGAGACCUCAAGCGUUAGGCGGAAUCACUGGGCUUAAAGCGUGUGUAGGCGGAUCGUUAAGUGUCUUGUGAAAUCCCACGGCUCACCCGUGGAACUGCUGGGCAUACUGGCGAUCUUGGGCCAACUAGGGGCAGCCGGAACAAGCGGUGGAGCGGUGAAAUGCGUAGAUAUCGCUUGGAACGCCGAAGGUGAAAACAGGCUGCUGGGGUUGUGCCGACGCUGAGACACGAAAGCCCAGGGGAGCAAACGGG